GAUGAACGCUGGCGGCGUGCCUAAUACAUGCAAGUCGAGCGAACAGACGAGGAGCUUGCUCCUCUGACGUUAGCGGCGGACGGGUGAGUAACACGUGGAUAACCUACCUAUAAGACUGGGAUAACUUCGGGAAACCGGAGCUAAUACCGGAUAAUAUAUUGAACCGCAUGGUUCAAUAGUGAAAGACGGUUUUGCUGUCACUUAUAGAUGGAUCCGCGCCGCAUUAGCUAGUUGGUAAGGUAACGGCUUACCAAGGCAACGAUGCGUAGCCGACCUGAGAGGGUGAUCGGCAACACUGGAAAUGAGACACGGUCCAGACGCCUAAGGGAGACAGCAGUAGGGAAUCUUCCGCAAUGGGCGAAAGACUGACGGAGCAAAGCCGCGUGAGUGAUGAAGGUCUUCGGAUCGUAAAACUCUGUUAUUAGGGAAGAACAAAUGUGUAAGUAAAUAUGCACGUCUUGACGGUACCUAAUCAGAAAGCCACGGCUAACUACGUG
rnacentral:rRNA from 1 species